CGCCUCCUGCCCACAACAAUAUAGGAGGUCCCGCCUGCCCUGUGACCAAAAGUUUAACGGCCGCGGUAUUUUAACCGUGCAAAGGUAGCGCAAUCAAUUGUCUUUUAAAUGGAGACCUGUAUGAAUGGCAUAACGAGGGUUUAACUGUCUCUUUUUUCCAGUCAAUGAAACUGAUCUGCCCGUGCAGAAGCGGGCAUAUUAACACAAGACGAGAAGACCCUAUGGAGCUUUAGACGCCCACCAACUAUGAAAAGCAACCAAGUUAAUGGAAACCCAAAUAACAUAGCCCUGGCACAAACGUCUUCGGUUGGGGCGACCACGGGGGAAAACAAAGCCCCCAAGAGGACAGGGGAAUACCCUGAAACCAAGAGCCACAGCUCUAAGUCACAAAAUAUUUGACCGAAUAAUGAUCCGGCCCACGCCGAUCAACGGACCAAGUUACCCUAGGGAUAACAGCGCAAUCCUCUCCCAGAGUCCAUAUCGACGAGAGGGUUUACGACCUCGAUGUUGGAUCAGGACAUCCUAAUGGUGCAGCCGCUAUUAAGGGUUCGUUUGUUCAACGAUUAAAGUCCU
rnacentral:rRNA from 1 species